rnacentral:rRNA from 1 species
CAGUCGCCGCGGGAAUACGUAGGUGGCAAGCGUUGUCCGGAAUUAUUGGGCGUAAAGGGCUCGUAGGCGGUUUCUUAAGUCUGAUGUGAAAGCCCCCGGCUCAACCGGGGAGGGUCAUUGGAAACUGGGAAACUUGAGUGCAGAAGAGGAGAGUGGAAUUCCACGUGUAGCGGUGAAAUGCGUAGAGAUGUGGAGGAACACCAGUGGCGAAGGCGACUCUCUGGUCUGCAACUGACGCUGAGGAGCGAAAGCGUGGGGAGCGAACAGGAUUAGAUACCCGUGUAGUCCCUGUCUCUUAUAA